CGUGUCACAGCUGUAAUACACAUAUUAUGACAUGUACACCAUUGAACUCUUUAGGAAGAAUGAUGUUCCAACUGUAUUGCCAAGCCAUUAUAAUAUAAAUAAACCUUUGGAAUGUGCAGAGAGAAAA